rnacentral:lncRNA from 1 species
UGACACAUAUGGAAUUGUGUAGAAUCUAAAAUAUAUUUUGAUUUGUUUAACACUUUUUUUGUUACUACAUGAUUCCAUAUGUGCUAUUUCAUAGUUUUGAUGUCUUCACUAUUAUUCUGCACUGUAGAAAAUAGUAAAAAUAAAGAAAAACCCUUGAAUGAGUAGGUGUGUCCAAAAUUUUGAUUGAUACUGUAAGAGAAAAUAUAUUUAAAACUUUCAAGAACAUGAUUUACAUGGCUGUUGUACAUUUCAGAUUUGUAUACUGUGUUCCAUUUCUUGUUGAGUUGUGUUAUAUUAUUAACAGAGAUCCUUGCUCAGGGAUUCUUGAAAUUCGGGACAAUCCUUGUCUGGGAAGGGAAACGUAAUUUGUAUGGUUGUUUUUAUUUUUUCAUUAUUUAAGCUUAAAUAUUUAAUUUAGGUGAAUUUUAUAAGGGAAAAUAUUUUUUGUAAUUUUCUAAAUAUUUUCAAUAUUAUUGAUUUCCAUGUUGACUGUAUUCUAGGAAAUGCCCUUGUCCAGAGCAAACACCCUGAAAGUGUCAACAAAAAAAAAUGAGGGCAAAAAUGAAAUAACUUGAAAGAAAUGAAAGAAUCUCAUGUAGUUUCCUGACUUACAGUAUCUGAAAACUGUGAUUCCUAAAAAAAUGUGUUUUGUUAAUCUCCAUCAUAUUUGUCUAUCUUUAUUAAAUGAAUCAGAAAUGAAUGAGCAGGGUCAGCUAUACCAUGACAACCCUUUCUUCAUCUCCUGAUUGCAUGUAGUGCAACAAGACAUCAUGGUCCUGAAAGUCCUCUACGUUUGAUAGAUUUAAACAAACAAUAUUGAAAUCACCAUGUUCACAACAAUAACUUGUCAACUCCAUCUCCCUUAUAGGAUUCCUUUUGGUGCGCUAUGACCAUUCACAGUUGAGCUCACUCAGUUUAGCUCAAUGCUGAUUGGCUAUUAUGUAAAGAAAUAUAUAUAUCGAGAGGCCAAAUGCUCGCUGGCUUCCCUUGUAUUCAAUGCUAGGGGCAUUAUCAUGUUCUUUUUGACCAGACAGCAUCAAAUAGAUGGGCUCACAUACAGUACAGAGACAGAGGGGCUUUGUUUCACUCACUCGGAUGCUUUCUCCGGUGAGAUACAUUCAGCCUCUUGCGAGUUGAAGGAAAAUGAUAAAGCACAGAGCGAGGAAAGAUACAUUAUAUAUAUUAAAAAACUGUCCCAUUUUUGGGGGGAAGCCUGGCUUCUCUUGGCAUCCAUGACUACACGCCACUGAGACCAAGCUGAAUUUAAGGGCAUAUAGUCUAUUAUUUUGUGGUGAUACACAAGCUAGAGAGCAGGUGUGUCUGUUUUAUGAAAAUCUGGUAAUAUGUGGCCAAUGAAAUAUUUCUGGUUGGUCUCAGGGAAUGUAAAACAAUAGGUAGACUUAAAAUAAAAAAGUAUAAUCAAAUAUGUUGAAUGAGCAACUAAUGAACAUAGAGACUGGAGAGCCUCACAAAUUUGACGAAUUUACCUUAGGCCUAUAUCUUUCAUUAUAAACUGGGUAGUUCGAGCACUGAAUGCUGAUUGGCUGACAGACCGUAUACCAUGGGUAUGACAUUGGUAACCAGUUUAUAAUUGCAAUAAAGACACCUCGGGGGUUUGUGAUAUAUGGCCAAUAUAACGACUAAGGGCUGUGUCCAGGCACUCCGAGUUGCAUUGUGCUUAAGAAUAGCCCUUAGCCGUGGUAUAUUAGCCAUAUACCACACCUCCUAGGGCCUUAUUGCUUAAGUCUAAUACGGCUAUUUACUUACUUUUGUAGCUCUUCAUCAGUAGCACCCUUUUGUAAGUAGUGAGGACUAGCUGUCCUCUCCAAGUUUAUCUGGAAUUCAGCCUGAAAGGAUUUGAGAAAUGUGAUUGGUUGACGAUAUGCCUAUGAUAUCAACAAUGAUUGGAGAAGUGUUUAACAUCACCAUAUGAUAUUAAAAAAUAUAUAAUAUAUCGUAAUUUAUAAGGGCAACGUAACUGCAAGAGACAGUUUGGAAUGUCUGACUGAAAAAGGGACAAAUCAACCUUUAUCAUUUUUUCUUGUGGUGUUUAAUUAAAUCCGAUAAAAUGCAGGAUAUGAUUGCGGGACACGGUACAGAGGGCCAAAAUGCGGGACUGACCCGUACAAUCCGGGACAUGUGGUCACCCUACUUAUAGAUUAAGAUAGAAUAUGAGUUAUGGUUAAAAUAUGUUCAUUUUAAUUAGGUUUAAGAGUCAUAAAAUAACUGAGGAAAAACUAAAUUGUUGUUAAGUAUACCAGUUGAAGGUUGAAGAAAAACAUGCAAAUUGUCAACUCCGUAAAACAUCAACUCCAUCAGAUUUAUGUCUAAUUUCAACUCUGCCAGGUUGCUGAAAGAUUUGAUAUAACAGUUAUGUUUUUAUUGGGGAAUUUCUAAUUCAUUAUUUUCCAUUAUUUAGAAAAUGUUUGUACUGAACUUAAAAAUAUGUCUGUUUUAAGUAUCUGUACUCCAUUAGAGGCAUUUCAACUGUCACUGAUGGGUAACCCCCUUAAGAUCGAUAUUUUUGUCAAUAUUCUGAAUAAAUAUUAAUAUGCUUAAACUGUUGAAGUAUUUGCAGUGAUAUACCUAAGUGAUACUUUUAAUAAAUUUAACUUCUUUGACAAAUGUUUUACAGUUUUACUUUAGUGCCUUAUUGCAAACAGGAUGCAUGUUUUGGAAUAGAUUUGUUCUGUAUAGGCUUCCUUCUUUUCACUCUUUAAUUUAGGUUAGUAUUGUGGAGUAACUACAAUGUUGAUCCAUCCUCAGUUUUCU